UCCAGCACGUCAGAUAAGAGGAUCUCUGCCCCUGUCCUUUACCGUGGCUUUUGACUGGCCUUCACUUUGCUCCCUUGUCGUCUGUUCAACAUCAGCCAUCGAGGAUGUUAUCUGAUUACCCCCUUAAGAAAUUUGGUGAGGAUGACGCGGUAGGCUACCCUCCAAUCUCAAUUAACCACAUCAGCUUAUAGACCAGAGCUGUAAACAUACCCUCCUCACAGUCUUGUCCCUCAUAAGGCCUUGGACAUCGGCACUGGUAGCUCUGCCACAGGUUGACACACUGUCCUCUGUUUUGGCAAGGCACAUCCAGGCAGCGGUCCCUGUGGCUGCAGCCUGGGGACACAUUAACAGCACGGUCGCUCAGCCAUUCCUCAGGGACCACGAGCUGCCAGUCCACAAACACAUCCCGCAUGCAGCCAAUGAAUGCUGGAAGGGGAGAGACCUCACUGGGGCCAUUUGA